ACACAUACACACUUCUGAGUGCUCACAGACUUCCAUAAUGCUACAUUUCUUCAUAGGAAUAGUACUUCUGUUGCUAGAUCCAUCAACAAUCUGUUGUCAAACAGUGGAAGGCACCUUUUUGGGAGAUAAAGAAGGAAUUCCCUUACACAAUGAUUCUCUAACUCUGAAUGGAAAUAACACUGCUAUCAAAGAUCUGACAGAACAACACAGCUCAACUUCACAGAUCUUUUCAUUUUAGUCCAAAUAAAACAAUUGUAGAAGAGACUAACCAGAAUGUGACUUAUGAAGAUCAAGAGAGUUUCCAGGAUCAAGAGCAAAAUCAUCACUAUAAGAGUUGCAAUGUAUUGCUACUGGUGAAGGCUAUCAAGCCAUUCUGCUGGAGUGAAUUUAAUAAGUCCAUGGUGGAACUGGGAUGGCAGAAGUGGUAUAUAUAUAUAUAAUUGUUUUUUGUUUUUUUACUUUUUCCUCCUUCUGGAACCUGCUAGAUUAACACUGGAAGUUAUACAUCAAUCAGUGUUUGUCAUCAUUCUUGUAAUUGUUUUCUCUUUUUCUUAGAGUAAAUUAUAGCUAUAUAGCUUUAAACCAGCUGGAUCUGGAUUGAUUUGCUACACAUGACAAGCGUUUGGAGAUUUGUGAAGUUUAAUUUUUACUAGUUGUUUACUACAUUUUUACUAAAACACUCCAAAAAUAGUGAAAAUAUAAGUGUGCUUUAAUGUAAAUGAAUUAUUAUAAAUAAUAGUAGAAAUACUUGUGUGACAAGCACUAAUUGCUUACAUUUUUCCUGUCAAAGGAAAAAUUCGUUUGAAUUAUUCCAUUAGAUUUGAAUCAACUUCCAUUUGAAUUUAUUUAAAAAUAACUACAGGCACAUUUCCUCUCAAAUUGUAAUUGUAAAAAUAAAAACUUGGUAAUGGUAAGUCUAAACUCUACCACUAAAACACAUAGCUUUAUUCUUUGAGCACUUGCUUUCUUCAGCCUAAUGUUUUAAAUCCCACAGCAGUUCAUUGCCAGUCCCAUCGCAAGCCUUGUCACAUUCCCGUAAAGAAAGGGCUGAAAUUUAAAAUGUGUUCCUUAUCACUAAUUAUAUUUACUCAGGGAACUAGUGGCCUUUUCUGAUUUUUGGACAGGAAUUUCUGUCUUUUUGUAGAUAAGAGAUAUGCUCUGAUGGUUUGUGUGUGUGUGUGAGUGUGCGUGCGCACAUUUCCUCUUCCUCCUUCCUCCAGUGUUCCAAGGUUUGGGAGGUUUGACACUGAAUACCCUACCACCACAUCAGCACGAGAAGCCUUGUACUUGAAGUCCUGAGUGUGCAAACUGAGGUGUAGGGAUAAAGGAGAUAGGGUGUACGGAUGAAGAGGCUAGGGUGUUGGGGUAUUUGUAAACAUUUAAUUUUGUGAGUCAGUCACAGAAUUAAAUAAUGAACUAUAUGAAGACAAAACAGUGACAAUGACAUUCCAUGAAACUGGUCAACUGAUGCAGCAUUCAGCAGGAACAUAUGGUAUUCAGCAUAAGAAAGUAAGUGUACAUAUGGAAAUUUAAUAUAUCAUAGGCUUUUGUUGUGUAUAUAAAAAUUCAUGUAUAUAACAAAAUAUACUGUUGCCUCUCGUUGUAUUUAAACACCUUCAAUAGCAGUUUAUUACAGCAUUCAUUUCAGAUAGUCUUUUAUGUAGUUCUUAUUGUAGGGCACUGUUUAUCUUGUUUAACAAACUCUAGCACUUAUUGUUUAUAGCACUUAUCACUGUUU